AUUGAACGCUGGCGGCAUGCUUUACACAUGCAAGUCGAACGGCAGCGCGGGGGCAACCCUGGCGGCGAGUGGCGAACGGGUGAGUAAUGCAUCGGAACGUAUCCUGUAAUGGGGGAUAACUGAUCGAAAGAUUAGCUAAUACCGCAUACGCUCGGGAGAGGAAAGUGGGGGAUCGCAAGACCUCACGUUAUAGGAGCGGCCGAUGUCUGAUUAGCUAGUUGGUGAGGUAAAGGCUCACCAAGGCGACGAUCAGUAGCUGGUCUUAGAGGAUGAUCAGCCAAACUGGGACUGAGACACGGCCCAGACUCCUACGGGAGGCAGCAGUGGGGAAUUUUGGACAAUGGGGGCAACCCUGAUCCAGCCAUGCCGCGUGCGGGAGGAAGGCCUUCGGGUUGUAAACCGCUUUAGUCUAGGAAAAAGGAAUGCAGGAUUAAUACCCUUGUGUUUUGAUGGUACUGGAAGAAUAAGCACCGGCUAACUACGUGCCAGCCGCCGCAGUAA
rnacentral:rRNA from 1 species